GCUUGUAUUGUUUUGUUCUUAGUGUUCGUUCUGGUUGUGAUUUUGCAAAAGUGUGCUUUUAUAUAUAUGUACCCAAAUCUCAUCUUACAUACUCCCUCGUCUUCUUCUUUCUCUUACAGCAAACGGACAUCACUAAUGUCAGACAGCUUGCUCAAGACAAAGAUGAGUAUUUGAGGUCCUUCUCCAUCACAGGGAACUAACCAGACUUGCCAAUGCCUCCUAGUGAGGUCAGCUCGUUCUACCUCUGUCAGGGAUAUUUCCUUCCUAUACUCCCGUUUGCAAGUUAACAUACUCAUAUAUUAUCUCCCUGUUAGGUCGAUUCUUUAUCU